GAUGGUAGUCUUGUUCUGGCUGCCUUAGGAUCAAGAUGUAGAACUCUCAUAUCCUCCAGCAUCAUGCCUACCUGGAUGCUACCAUGCUUCCUGCCAUGAUGAUAAUGGGCUGAACCUCUGAACCUAUAAGCCAGCCCCAACUAAAUGACACCUGGUCAUGGUGUCUCUUCACAGCAAUGAAAACCCUAACGAAGACAGAUAUGAAGUGUACCACAAAGGGCUCAUAGCCGGAGCAGCGGCGCUCUGGGCAGGAAUGAAGAUAUCCUUUGGCUACAGAGAGGACUGCAGAAGUGGUCCCCCAAGAAACUGGAAUUUCCCCAGGAAUCUCAUGCUGGGAGAAAGAAAAGGCUGAAGCUAUGCCAGCCCCGAGGACUGGAGGACUGCUGCGUUCUUUCCAUCCACAGAACUAAACACAUUAGAUGGAAAAGGGUUUCUCAGUAGCCCUGACUGUCAAAGAACUCACCCUGGUCUACAAAGCGAGUUCCAGGGCAGCCAGGGCUACACAGAGAAACCCUGUGUCAAAAGACAAAACUAAACAACAAACCCUCCAAUAAAACAAACAAAUAAACCUU
rnacentral:lncRNA from 1 species